AGGGUUCGAUUAUGGCUCAGGACGAACGCUGGCGGCGUGCCUAAUACAUGCAAGUCGAGCGAGCAGAACCAGCAGAUUUACUUCGGUAAUGACGCUGGGGACGCGAGCGGCGGAUGGGUGAGUAACACGUGGGGAACCUGCCCCAUAGUCUGGGAUACCACUUGGAAACAGGUGCUAAUACCGGAUAAGAAAGCAGAUCGCAUGAUCAGCUUAUAAAAGGCGGCGUAAGCUGUCGCUAUGGGAUGGCCCCGCGGUGCAUUAGCUAGUUGGUAAGGUAACGGCUUACCAAGGCAAUGAUGCAUAGCCGAGUUGAGAGACUGAUCGGCCACAUUGGGACUGAGACACGGCCCAA
rnacentral:rRNA from 1 species